ensembl:ncRNA T06H11.16 ncRNA
AGUAGGACAGCGUAGGCGCAAGAAAAGGAAAAAAAAACAAAUCCUUGCCGGAGCGUAAGUUUUGGGACUCCUCGGCCGCGCUUUGACCAAAAACGAAACAUAUGCUCGUAAACAUAAAUUAAACUUUUGAGAGACGCUUCCUCCUCUCUUGCGCCAACACUCUGCAUGCCCCGGAUGCCUUUCUUUCAUAUCGCACACGCCUCUCAAUGUCACAAAACAAAAAGUCGGUGGUGGUGCUGGU